rnacentral:rRNA from 1 species
GGGAAUAUUGGACAAUGGGCGAAAGCCUGAUCCAGCCAUGCCGCGUGUGUGAAGAAGGUCUUCGGAUUGUAAAGCACUUUAAGUUGGGAGGAAGGGCCGUUACCUAAUACGUGAUGGUUUUGACGUUACCGACAGAAUAAGCACCGGCUAACUCUGUGCCAGCAGCCGCGGUAAUACAGAGGGUGCAAGCGUUAAUCGGAAUUACUGGGCGUAAAGCGCGCGUAGGUGGUUUGUUAAGUUGGAUGUGAAAUCCCCGGGCUCAACCUGGGAACUGCAUUCAAAACUGACUGACUAGAGUAUGGUAGAGGGUGGUGGAAUUUCCUGUGUAGCGGUGAAAUGCGUAGAUAUAGGAAGGAACACCAGUGGCGAAGGCGACCACCUGGACUGAUACUGACACUGAGGUGCGAAAGCGUGGGGAGCAAACAGGA